UUUGGUGGAGACACAGCCAAACCAUAUCAGAUGAAAAACUACAAACAAACGUUUGCUCAAAUCUCUAGCAUGAACCUCUACUAAUGAAACCUUGUUCCAGCAGCACAAGUUACAAAGCAAGGAAGCAAAGACAUUGCUGUAUUAUUGGGACCUGAACCCUGCCUCUCUGCAAAGGCUCAAGAAUUAAACGCCCUCUACUUGCUCUA